rnacentral:tRNA from 1 species
GGGCCGGUAGCUCAGCCUGGUAGAGCACUGCACUUUUAAUGCAGUGGUCGCGAGUUCGAAUCUCGUCCGGCCCACCA